UACAGGGGGGGCAAGCGUUGUUCGGAAUUACUGGGCGUAAAGGGUCUGUAGGUGGCUUGCUAAGUCAGACGUGAAAUCCCUCAGCUUAACUGGGGAACUGCGUCUGAUACUGGCAAGCUUGAGUGCAGGAGAGGAACGCGGAAUUCCGGGUGUAGCGGUGAAAUGCGUAGAUAUCCGGAGGAACACCGGUGGCGAAGGCGGCUUCCUGGACCGGCAUUGACGCUGAGGCGCGAAAGCUAGGGUAGCAAACGGG
rnacentral:rRNA from 1 species